rnacentral:lncRNA from 13 species
AUGUAAAUUAUCUUUCAUUUCUUUUUAAUUAACACAAGAGAAAGGUACAUUUCGUGAAGAAAUUUUUAAAUCAUUAAUAUCUAUUUUUAGUCUUUAAGUAAAUUAUAUUGAAAAUCAAUGUUACUGCGUAAGACUCAUGGUUUUUAAAAAGAUGAUAUUUUCGUUAUAUAUUAUAUAUUUAACAUAUUCAAGUCAUUUUUUUAUCUAGUUGCUGGAUUCACAUUUUGGACGUGUUCGUCUGUCGACAAUGACGACCUCAAAAUAUAAAAUUGUGGAGUUCGACGAGGGGAUAGAAAUGAUUCCAACGACAUGGCUUAAUCAUGACCAAACAAUAGCUUCUUGGCCUCUUUACCAAAAUCAAAUAAAAAUUAAUAAAGCUAUUUCCAAUAUGAAGACGCCAAAAGAAGAUUGGAAACAAUGUAAAAUUAAGAAGAUAUGCAGAUUCAUACAAACAAGCAGUUGAUAAAGUUGCAAUUUUCUAUGGAGCUUUUUGAUAUAGAAUCUAUUACUCCGGAAGAAUAUAAAAAAAGUAGACGUACGAGCUAAAGUGCGGCAUUCAGAUGAUGCUUACAGUUCUGAUGAUUCUUCGGAUAAAGUUCCAGUAAAAAAACGCAAUACUUCUAAAGUAUUACCACCAUUCCCAAUCGUACCAAAUAAAGGUAAAACGUCAAAAUCGAAAAGUUGUGAUAACAUUAUGCGUUAAAGAAAAAUCCAAUGAAAAACAUGAAGCCACAAGAUUCUCAACUUAAUUCACUGACAGAGAAAUCUGACGACGAGGAUGACAUUAAUUAUGACGAAAUUGAAAAAGACGAUUGCGUAAGAAAAGAAAAUUUAGAAUCAAAUAUUGCUCUUGAAAGUGUACCAUCGUCAAUGCGAAAACAGGAUCCAUUAAAAAAAAAUAAUUAAAAAAAUUGAGGAGCAACAAGAUAAACCUAUUAAAAUUGCUUAUUUGAAGGAAAUUUUGUUUAUUCAGCACAAAAUUUUACUACAGUUUGAAGAACUGAAAAAAAACAGAGCAAACGAGACUAUAAGACAAGAAUCAACCUCAUUAUUAACUAAUACAAUAGUAGACAUUUGCAAAUUUGCAAAAAGUCUACCGUUAAAAAAUGAGGAAGAUUUACAGAAAAUGGAAAAAAAUCUUCAAACGGAAGAGUUUCGUACAAAAUGGGUA